rnacentral:rRNA from 1 species
GAUGAACGCUGGCGGCGUGCUUAACACAUGCAAGUCGAACGGAAAGGCUCCUGCUUGCAGGGGUACUCGAGUGGCGAACGGGUGAGUAACACGUGGGUGAUCUGCCCUGCACUUCGGGAUAAGCCUGGGAAACUGGGUCUAAUACCGGAUAGGACCACAUUUUGGAUGGUGUGGUGGAAAGUUUUUCGGUGUGGGAUGAGCUCGCGGCCUAUCAGCUUGUUGGUGGGGUAAUGGCCUACCAAGGCGUCGACGGGUAGCCGGCCUGAGAGGGUGUACGGCCACAUUGGGACUGAGAUACGGCCCAGACUCCUACGGGAGGCAGCAGUGGGGAAUAUUGCACAAUGGGCGCAAGCCUGAUGCAGCGACGCCGUGUGGGGGAUGACGGCCUUCGGGUUGUAAACUCCUUUCGCUAGGGACGAAGCGUUUUUGUGACGGUACCUGGAGAAGAAGCACCGGCUAACUACGUG